UGAAGUUAAAUCUACCCCAGUAUUUAAUUCCAUAAAAUAUCUACCUGUGUUUAGAUUAAGUCAUCAUCAUUAAUCACAAAAGUCUUGGAACUAUCAGUGAAAAUCCUAAUCUCUCGGGUAGAAGGUGAUCUAAAAACCAUCAGACUAUUUAAAAGCCCUAUUUGGAUUACUACAACCUUUGGCCAACACAUCAGAGUCCAUAUCCACCUGAAUCUUAACUUGACCCAAAUUCACAGGUGUCUUCGGUUGUGCGGGAGUCACUCACCAACCCAGCGGGUAACCCGAUUUCUAACUCCCGCAGUGCUUUAGGCAGCGGAAA